GAUUUAACUUCAAUUCAUUUACCUUCAGGUGUACGGUGGCACAAACGUAACUGCUGUGGAUCAUCUGUGCUUGGGAAUUCCUAAAGGCGAAUGUUUUGGCUUGCUUGGAAUAAAUGGUGCUGGUAAGACCACCACAUUUAGCAUGUUAACAGGAGACUUGAGCAUUUCACAGGGCACUGCUUACAUGGGCGGAUAUAACAUUUUGACGAACUUACGACAGGUUCAGCAAAGGAUUGGUUAUUGUCCUCAGGUAUGUGUAUAUAAAAG